rnacentral:rRNA from 1 species
GAUGAACGCUGGCGGCGUGCCUAAUACAUGCAAGUCGAGCGAACGGACCAGGUGUUUGCUUUUCUGAUGUUGGCGGCGGAGGGGUGCGUACCAUGUGGUUCACAUAACUAUCAGACUGGGAUACCUUCGGGAGACCGGAGCUAAUACCGGAUAAUAUUUUGAACUGCAUUGUUCCAAAGUUAAAGACGAUCUUGCUGUCACUUAUAGCUGGAUCCGCGCUGGAUUAGCUAGUUGGUAAGGUAACAGCUUACCAAGGCGACGACGCAUAGCUGGCCUGAGAGGAUGAUCAGCCACACUGGGACUGAGACACGGCCGAGAAUCCUACGGGAGGGAGCAGUGGGGAAUAUUGGACAAUGGGGGAAAGCAUGAUCCAGCAAUGCCGCGUGAGUGAUGAAGGCCUUAGGGUUGUAAAGCUCUUUUACCCGGGAUGAUAAUGACAGUACCGGGAGAAUAAGCUCCGGCUAACUACGUG